GGAUGUGCAGACGAGAACGGGCGAGGUUUUGGUCAUGUUUUGACUAAAAAAUCGGAACAGGUCGAACCGAGACUUUGUCGGAGACGAUGCCGGAUACCUUCAGCGUUGGACAUUGCGGAAGGAUUUAAAGUCCAGGAGAAGUAUUGGCCGUAAAAAGUUAUGCCGUCGAGCAUCAUUUUGAUUUAGUGUUGGAUGAUUCUAAAUAGUGCAUUAAUUAUCGAAUAAUAAAUUGAUUUGAGUUGUA